rnacentral:lncRNA from 1 species
GAUAUAUUAUUUCUUAGAUAAUUCACUGUUUCCAGCCUUCUUUGUUUAAUAGGAAAAUGAAUCGGAUCGUGUAAGAAUAACAAGUAAAGCAUUGUUAAUGUAAGACAUUCCUUCUUUUUCAAGUUAUCUUAUUUUCAAAAGUAAAGACAGAGAUGGCGGCAGCACAAAAUCUCGAAUUAUUGUAACAGGUGUUCACAGGCGUGUGUGGAACAGAUGGUAGCAGCUAUAGCAGAAUGUCAAAGAUUAAGGUGUACAAAGGGGUACCAGAUGUUGGCUUCUAACACGGUGGAUACACAAGGAAAUCGUUCAACAAGAUUUGAAUAUUUUCAAUAAAUAGAGGUUACCAGACGUGGGCUUCUGACACAGAGAAUAUACACGAGAUCGUUUAGCAACAUCAGACUAUUUUCACGAGAUAGAGAUGUUGGAAUGGUACCAGAUGUUGGCUUCUGACACAGUGGAUGUACAGAAGAUCACCAAUAAAAGUAACAGACGGUUGGUAACAAUUGAUUGUUCUUGAAGGUAAGAGAAAAUUAUACAUGGUAACGUAAAAAAUACAAUGUUACAGGUGAAAGUAACAGAUUAAAGUUGCAGAUGAAAGCUGCAGAUGAAAGUGACAGAUCCUGAAAAUAAAAAAGGUGUGUUAAUGUAUAUUUCUAUAUUUACUUUGACUAGUACUGUUGAAUUCCCUUUGCCAUUGAUGCGUGAAACUUGUUUUACAGACCAGCCGAUGUACAGAAACAACUAGCGUUGGACCGGGGAGUGCCUGGUAAUUUCGACGUUUGAUAGGUAUUUGCAUCAAGUAUUUGUUAUUGAUUGCAUGCCUUAAAUUUCAGAUGAAAACCAUUACUUGAAGUUACGGAUGGAUACAGUAGUUCUUUGUAUCAAUCAAGUGAAAAUCACAGAUUUACAGAUGAAGACUGUAGCUCUUUGCUACAGAUGAAUAACGUAGCUCUGCUGGACUGAAGUUGCCUGCUCCUCACCUUUUGGGGUUCCAAACCAUGCUCAGAGUGUAGACUUUAAACACAUUAGUUACAGAAUAUGGAAGCGAGGCUCGGCUUCGGUGGAUGGACAAUAGGUGGCAUACGUGAUAGACUUGAGGGAAGCGUUUCAAAAUGACGAAUCUUCGUAAGACUAGGAACACUUAAAUAUAGUUACAGAACAUGAUUGUGAGGCUAGGUUUCAAAUGAAUGGGCGGACAGCAGACGUGUUACACUUGGUAGACACCACCCAGAAUGGCGGUUGUUUUCCAGAGACCUUAAUUACUUUAAAUAAAGAAUAUUGAAGUGAGGUUUGGCUCCGCAGAAAGAAACGUAGAAAGCAGACGUGAUUGAAUUGGCAAACACCUUCCGGUGUGGCACCCUUUCCAGAGAUUUGGGAUACUUCUAAAUAUAAAAGUUACAGAAUAUAGAGCGAGGUUAGGUUUUAGGUGAAUACAGGACAUGAAAGCGAGACUUGGUUU